rnacentral:ncRNA from 1 species
GUAAUAACUAUGAUUAGGAAAAGUACUUAUAUGGUAUCUUUUAAGAGAGUGAUUGGUUGGUGUAAAAUCACAAGAUAGUAUAAGGAAAAUCACCUAGGAGUUGGAGGCCGAAAGCAAGUAAUUGUAAUUAAGUUUAUCCCGUAUAUCUGCGUUAAAGAUUAGGAUAUGAUAGUAUCUGAAAAUAGAGACUUAAUUUUUAUAAUAUUUUAGAGUCUUUUAAUAAUAGGUGGUAUAACGAAAGUGAAACUUCGUCCUUUUA